rnacentral:rRNA from 1 species
UACAGGGGGGGCAAGCGUUGUUCGGAAUUACUGGGCGUAAAGGGCUCGUAGGCGGCCAACUAAGUCCGACGUGAAAUCCCCAGGCUUAACCUGGGAACUGCGUCGGAUACUGGAUGGCUUGAAUUCGGGAGAGGGAUGCAGAAUUCCAGGUGUAGCGGUGAAAUGCGUAGAUAUCUGGAGGAAUACCGGUGGCGAAGGCGGCAUCCUGGACCGACAUUGACGCUGAUGAGCGAAAGCUAGGGAGCAAACGGG